GUUAAUACAUGCUUACAUAAACUUGAAUUUUUUUUACAUUGACUUCAUAAACUAAUGGUUGAUUGUAGAAAUUGUAUUUGCUCUUUAUUUAAUAGUUUCAGAUUUGCAAGAAUUUUCUUAGGCAAUGUACUGGUGAUAGCCCGAUGGCAAGAAUUUGGUUAAGCAAUGCUACAAUCAAUUUAGUUUUGGAAAUUGACCCCUUGCUCACAAUUAGAACCCCAUCAGAGGCCAUGUCUCUCUUUUUCAUGUGGCUCUGAUGAGUUAAUAGAUUCUGAUUGAUGGACACUUGUUGCAGAUAGAGAAUGGUAAGCUGCCGCCGCAGAUACGGGUCAAUGGACACUUGCUGCAGAUAGGGAAUUGUUUCAGACUUUGAAAGAAUGGGCAGAAACAAUCCAUCAUUGAUCAAAGUCUCUGAAAAAUAUUUACCAGGUCAGUAGAUUGCUAGACAAAUUAUGUCACUGUUUUUUGUACACAAUGCAGCUAUAUUCAUUUAAGACUCAUAGACAUAUUUUUGUAGACAAUCAAAUGGAUGAUUCAAAAAAAAUUAUGGCUAACCGCUAGCACAGAUGAUUUCUGAUAUGUCUCAAUGUAACAGGGGAGAAAGGGGAAAAAACAAUGUGAAUAUCAUGCAAGAAAGAAGAUGGCUAAAAGAAAUUUAUCUCUAUGUAUGCCUGAUUAUGAUAACAUAUAUCAUUCUUUGGCUUCUUGUUUGAGGCGUGGCCAGGCUCGUGUGUGAGUGUGGGGGGUGGGCAGCGGACGAAGUCCGGCCACCUCGCCGUCACAGAGGACGUGGAUGCUGCAUCGCUGUCGCCGUCACAGAGGACGCAGAUCUAGGCUCUAGGGAACUCCUAUGAACAAAGGCAUAUCUUCUGAACUUCUAUGCUAUGACAUAGAGAUCCAAGGUUUUGCAAAGUCACCGAGUCACAAAAAAAGGGUAAUCACAGUACUGCAUUCUUAACAAGUGCCAAGAAGGGACAUGUUCUGGUUAACAAUCUCAAGGCGCUCACCAACUUCGGUGUGGAGGCAUGGAAGAUGGAAGGUCUGUUGGAAAAUUUUAGGUGUGGAGGAAUCCAAUUUCAGGUUAUAUGUAUUAAGCUACUUUGGAAUUUUUCAUUAGCUUCUGUAGGACAUUGCAAACUAUAAAUGGUAGCUCUUGUUUUGUCUAUGUAAAAGUUGCAUUUGUGAAUUUUGCGUGUUGCUGAGUGAUCAUUGGGAUUCAUUCAUUAGUUUCUGAAAGCAUCAAGAAAACUCUGCUCAAGGAAUCUCAUUGGCAAAGUUUAUUGUUUGAUUAGUAAUAGUCAUUAUGUUGAUUU